UGGGGAAUAUUGGGCAAUGGAGGAAACUCUGACCCAGCCAUGCCGCGUGAGUGAUGAAGGCUCUAGGGUUGUAAAGCUCUUUCGCCGAUGAAGAUAAUGACGGUAGUCGGAGAAGAAGCCCCGGCUAACUUCGUGCCAGCAGCCGCGGUAAUACGAAGGGGGCUAGCGUUGUUCGGAAUUACUGGGCGUAAAGCGCACGUAGGCUGUGCCGCAAGUCAGGGGUGAAAUCCCAGAGCUCAACUCUGGAACUGCCUUUGAAACUGCGGUGCUAGAAUCUCAGAGGGGGUAGCGGAAUUCCAAAUGUAGGGGUGAAAUCCGUAGAUAUUUGGAGGAACACCGGUGGCGAAGGCGGCUACCUGGAUGAGUAUUGACGCUGAGGUGCGAAAGCGUGGGGAUCAAA
rnacentral:rRNA from 1 species